AAAAACUAUUUAGGUAGUGCCUCAUGUAUCGACCUUUGGGGGGUAGAGCACUGUUAUGGCUAGGGGGUCAUCGCGACUUACCAAACCAUUGCAAAACUACCGAAUACCAAAGAGUGCGAGCAUGGGAGACAGACAUCGGGUGCUAACGUCCGGUGUCAAAAGGGAAACAACCCAGACCCUCAGCUAAGGUCCCCCAAGAUAUAGUUAAGUGGUAAACGAAGUGGGAAGGCAUAGACAGUCAGGAGGUUGGCUUAGAAGCAGCCACCCUUUAAAGAAAGCGUAAUAGCUCACUGAUCGAGUCGUCCUGCGCGGAAGAUGUAACGGGGCUUAAACUAUACACCGAAGCUAGGGAUUUACAGUAAUGUAAAAUGGUAGGAGAGCGUUCCGUAAGCCUGCGAAGGUGGCUUGUAAAGGCUGCUGGAGGUAUCGG
rnacentral:rRNA from 1 species